UGGUGAGCAAGUGAGUAAUACUACAUUUCUCCAAAUCUCGGACGACCUGAGGCUAAACAGCUGAAACACUGCCUUGCCCAGCGAAGCUUUUUCUUAGAACUGCAACUCUAGCAGGACAUUGCUGUACAUCAAGAGUACAAACUCCAGACGACCCACGAUGGCGUACGUGAGAACACCCUCAUCCUGUAGUUUAAAG